rnacentral:rRNA from 1 species
UACAGAGGGUGCAAGCGUUGUCCGGAAUCACUGGGCGUAAAGGGUGCGUAGGCGGCCUGAUAAGUCGGGGGUGAAAUUCUGCGGCUUAACCGCAGGACGGCCUUCGAGACUGUCGGGCUUGAGCACGGUAGAGGCUGGUGGAAUUCCCGGUGUAGCGGUGGAAUGCGUAGAGAUCGGGAAGAACAUCGGUGGCGAAGGCGGCCAGCUGGGCCGUUGCUGACGCUGAGGCGCGACAGCGUGGGGAGCAAACAGG